GGAGAGGUGACCGAGCUGGCUGAAGGUGUGCGCCUGCUAAGCGUAUGUAGGUGAAAGCUUACCGAGGGUUCGAAUCCCUCCCUCUCCGCCA
rnacentral:tRNA from 1 species